ensembl:lncRNA
AUGAAGGAGGAGAGAGAUAACAUGCACCAGGAACAUCUAUCUGAAGGAACACCUGUGCAGCCCCCGAGAGAGCCGGCCGGCGGUGUGCCGCUCCCCCGCGAAAGUGGGGAAAGCGGUGGGGGGUGCCGCCCCUCUGCGGAGGCGGGGGGCCAGCAGCUAACCCGGGACGGCGUCGUUCCUCCACGAAUGAGGGACCGGCAGCUAAUCCGGGAAGAGCGCAGGGUCUGGUGUCAUUCCUCCGCGAAUGGGGGAGCGACAGGCCGAGGCCGAGCGGACUCGGGGGUCCAACUGAGGGCUUCGCACCUUGUCCUGGGCAGCAGGGACCGCAGGGCCCAGCUGACCACUCGCGUCCACCCCCCAACCUCCGCACUGGACGCGUGCAGCACCCACUGGCGGCCCCGCCCAGCUCUCAGGGCCCUGCGAGUCCAGUCGGGGUUCUGCUUCGGGGAGAGCGAGGUGGACUCAGGCCCAGCGGCUGCCUCCGGGAACCAAGGACACAGGACAGAGCCUGACCUGCACACCCCACAGCAUCAGGAGGUGGAGAGAGGUGGGCUUCCGGUGGGGAGGGGCUGGGCUUCCGGCGUGGAGAGAGGUGGGCUUUCAGGUGGGGAGAGGGACGGGGCUUCUGGUGUGAAGAGAGGUGGGCUUCUGGUGUGGAAUGAGGUGGGCUUCCGGUGUGGAGAGGGGCGUGGCUUCCGGCGUGGAGAGGGGCGGGGCUUCCGGUGUGGAGAGAGGUGGGUUUCCAGUGUGGAGAGGGGCGGGGCUUCCUGUGAGGAGAGGGGCGGGGCUUCUGGUGUGGAGAGAGGUGGGGUGCUGGUGUGAAGAGAGGUGGACUUCCGGUGUGGAGAGGGGCGGGGCUUCUGUGAGGAGAGAGGCGGGCUUCCUGUGAGGAGAGGGGCGGGGCUUCUGGUGUGGAGAGAGGCGGGGCUUCCUCGAGAGGCGGGACUUCCUUGAGAAAGGCAGGCGUCCUGUGAGAGCGCGGGAGAGCCUCGUGUGGGGGGCUCGCCGAAGGGUCCCCGAGAGAGAGGUGUUAGCCGUGGGUCCACGGCAGCCACGGUCGGGGCCGGAAUGCAUGCAGCCUGCCGGGUGGAGGUGCAGAAGGCGAGGGUGGCCGCGGUGGGGGCCGAGAACAGCAGCGGCAGAGCCACGCGGGAGGGCGGGGUGCGGAGCCGCAGGCCAGAGCGGCGCCAUGGGGGUGGCACCCCUCAGCUUGCGGCCUGGGGUGCCGGCUUCCUGUGGGCUCCACUUCCGAUCCGGAGCCAGUGGAGGAUGGCCGAGCGCCCAGGCCCUGCACCUGCGGGGAGGGAGACCUGGGAGAAGCGCCUGGCUCCCGGCUGUGGCCCAGCCCGGCCCUGGCUCUCGCAGCCGUCUGAGUGAGCGGGCGGAUGGAAGACCUCUGUGUGUCGUGUGUGUGUCUCUGCCUGACACAUAAGUCAAUUCUUUUCUAUGAAAAUCACACCACGAGGUGUAAACUGGCAGCCGGGGUCAGCGCUACAGGAGAGGCUCCUGCCCACAGGAGAGCAGCCCUGGUGAGGCCGGGGAGGCAGAGACAGCUCUCGGAGGGAGCAGGCGAGAGCGUUUCCAGCAAACGCGGCAGCACAUGCCAAGGUCCUGUGGCAGCUUGGGGAGGGGCCAUUCUGGGAGCCACAGGAGGAGGGGGAGGGGUGGGUCUAGAGGAAGGCGACGCGGCCUCAUUAUCUGCCAAGUCUUCAUGGCCAAGGCUGCAGGCAGCACCCACGCCUGACUCCCAGCCACGCGCCUCCAGCCCACCCUGUGCCCAAGGCCCGAUUCACAGCAGCUACUUGGCAUUGCCGCCACCGGGACGCCUCACAGUGCCUGGCCUCCCCCACCCGGCUGCUGGGAACCCGCGUGGCCUCCUGUGUCCCCCUCUUCUUCUCCCACCCACUUCCUCGAGCUCCUUUGCCCAGCACCCGUCAGAGCCAGGAGUGCCUAGGCGUUUCCACGCGUCGGGGCAGCCCUCCGGGUGACAGGUGCAGAGGGGCCGGGGCCUCUGUGCCCCCUGGUGAGACAAGCGCCAGAGGGUCCCGAGGCUCAGGCAGAGCCCAGCUGUCCCCUGUGUGCCUCUGCGGCCGCCUCCUCCCCGUCCUCCCCCGGGGAAGCAGGUGCACUGAGCACAGUCCCCCCGCCCAGCCAGCAGGGGGCGCUGCUCGGUCACUGCAGGCUGGGCAGCCGGCGGCAAGGGAAGCCCGGACUCAGGACGGGGCUCUGGGCGGGGCUACAGCGUUCUAGAAGGGACUGGAACCGAGCCCGCUGCCCCAUCGGCUCCUCCUCAGCUCGCGAUGCUGCCUGCCCGCUGCGCUCCUCAGUCGGGGCCGGGAGUGUGGGGAGCUGUCCUGCACCCCCCGUCCCCCCAGUGCGUCCUUGGCGCGAGGCUCGCGGUGCGUGGUCUCCUAUGGGAAGCCAAUCCAGGACCCGGACCCCUCAUCCAGGCUCCGACCGACUGCUACGACCCCGGUCUGGAGCACUGCUGGGGUCUCCCCACCUCCGCGCACAGGGGACCCACCGGCCAGGGCCUCCUCUUCCCGCUCCGGGCUCCCACCCAAAUCGCGAGCCUCUGGGGAGUCCACCAUCGGCGCCACCAGUCCGCCCGGGCUCCCGCCGCGGCCCCUCGGCUCGCCGUCCGCCCGGGCUCCUGCUCCGGCCCCUCGGCUCGCCGUGGGCACCGCGGGGUUGCCCGGCAGCCUCCAGCCAGGACGGAUUCCGUCCACACGGCCCGAAGGGAAGCCCCUCUGACGCCUACGAAAGCCGAGCGGCACAGUGGUGCACGCACCAGGCCGGGUCAGCCUGGAGUUCAUGACCACUGACUGGCCAGCGUCCAGCUGCCAGAGAGCCGAUGCCACGGGACCUCAGGGCGCAGAUGGGACGAGACCCCGGCGGCCACCAUGGUGUUUCCGUGUGACGAGCGCCCUGCAAGCCGUGGCCUCAGCGACACAGGUGUCCCUGCCCGUCUUCAGGAGCCGGGCCUUCAGUCUCCCCCUGCCCGGCCUGGAACCGCACCGUCGGCUGCCCGGGGCUCACGGCACAGCAGGCCGCGGGGCUUCUCAGCGCCAGACCCGCGGGGGCCGGCAGCACGUCGGAAAUCGGCAGACCAUGUGAGGGGUCGCCGCGGCUGGGAGGAGGAGGAGGAGGGCCGGGCAGCGGCCAUGACGUCGGCCUAGCGCAUCCCCGGCACGGAUGGGCCACGUCCAGCCGGCUGAGAGCCAGGGCUGGCCUCCGCUCCCUCGCUCCGAGGACCCGCGGGCCCCAGGCUUCUGCACUGGGCUGAGCCUCUCGCCCAGCCCCCGGGGCCUCCGGCCUGCAGGCGGCUGCCCCGGGUGUGAGCAUGUGAGCCGAGCCCCCCUGUGCUGUAGCCUGGUCUACACUGGCUGUUUCCUCUGGGGAACCCCGACUCACACGGGGUUGACAGAUGCGGGCACCGAGGUGGCCGUGGGUGCAGACAGCCACAGGUGCGCAGCGACAAGCAGCCAGUCCGCCUCCCGCAAGUCCACCGGGCACCGCCCCGACGCCCGGGCUGACCUAGCUCUCGCGGCUCAGCACCCGCAGGGGAGAGCAGGCGAUACAGAGCGAGUGUACGAAGCAGCAGAUUCCCCGGGACGCUGGCAGGCGGGGAGAGCCGCCCAGCGAGACCCACGUGGUGCGGCUGCAGUCCUCAGCAGGGCAGCCGCGCUCGGCCUCAUCGAGAAGGUGGCGUCCGAGAGCCAAGGGAGCAGGCCCGGCCCCCGGCCUCCGGCCCCCGGCCCCCGGCCCCCGGCCCGUGACUGCGAGCAGGCAUCCCCGGCGGAGGCGGAGCCGUGCGCGGGCCCUCGGCGGGGCCGGGAGGUGCGGUCACUCCGCGAGCAGCGGGCUGCAGGGAGUGUCCGGACAUGACGUCAGAGUCUAGGGCAAGACACAUGGCCGCACGGAAAGGCACACCCAACGCCCCUCCUUUUAAUGUUUUCCAAAGUCAUGGACAUUUACAACUCAUUUUAAAAACGCAUUUGGAAAACUGGGAAGGCUUGGAAAGCGCGCGCCCUGCAGAAUCAGGCAAAGGGAAGGAAUCCUUUCCUUUGGCCCCUUGGUAACUGGCCACCGGGGACCCUGGCUGCACGAAAGCAAGAUGGCGCCGCUCCUGCGGGCAAGGCGCUACCGCCCGCUCUCGGCCGCGUGCUGAUGACGUCAGCCGUCAUGUGACUGAGCGGCACCAAUCAGAGAGCUGGGCCCUGGGCGAGUGAGCCGGCCACUCUGGUGGGGCAUCUGGGUCCGACCGAGGAGCCGGAAGUUCGUGAACAUGCUCUCCUGUCGCCAGGGAGGAGGGCGGAGGGGCUUUCUGUCCGCGCUGGGAUCUCCUGGAUCUCGGAGGAUUACCGACCCUCUCCCCUUGCUCCAGCUCUGCGGACCCCAGCGUCCCCUCUCCAUGUUCCCGGUCACCCCUGGUCGCAGGAGCCCUUGGUGCCCCCACCCCAGGGGAGCGGCACCGUGCCCCCCCCGCCCCUCUGCGUGCUGGCCUUGGUCCCCCGCCCACCGUGGACCCCCGCCGUGGAGAGCACGCGCCCUGGGUGCGCGCCGGAGCCAACGCGGGGGCGGGGGAAGGUCUCACUAGGGAGAGAGGACGGGCCGCGGUGACUGCGGGGCCUGCGGGGCCCCGCGCGUGACUCCUGAGGGCCUGGUGGGGCUCCGCUGAGCAAGAUGUCCCCCGCCGCCUGCGUGGUGUCCGGCGGCCACUGGACGGGGCUCAAAGUCGUACAAUCGGCACGGGAGUGGGGCGCAGCUCUUAAGACACCGCUGCGCGGGGGUCACCGCACCCCAUGUCUGAACGUCUGGAUUGGAGUCCUGGCUCUGCUCCCGGUGCCAGCUCCCCGCUCACGGGCGCCCUGGGCGGGCGUACUGGGGUCCCUGCCGCCCACAGGCUUCCGCCUGGCCCAGCUGCAGCCGCUGUGCGCAUUUAGGGAGUGAACAGCGGAUGGGAGCGGCCCUCCCUCUCCCCCUCUCCCUCUCCCCCUCUCCUCUCCCCGCCCAGCUUUCAAUAAAUAACUGGAU